UACGUAGGGUGCAAGCGUUAAUCGGAAUUACUGGGCGUAAAGCGUGCGCAGGCGGCUUUGCAAGACAGAUGUGAAAUCCCCGGGCUUAACCUGGGAACUGCAUUUGUGACUGCAUGGCUGGAGUGCGGCAGAGGGGGAUGGAAUUCCGCGUGUAGCAGUGAAAUGCGUAGAUAUGCGGAGGAACACCGAUGGCGAAGGCAAUCCCCUGGGCCUGCACUGACGCUCAUGCACGAAAGCGUGGGGGGCAAACAGG
rnacentral:rRNA from 1 species